rnacentral:ncRNA from 2 species
CACUGUUCUCGGGGCGGGGUGAAAAUCCCCACCGGCGGUGACAGGCCAAGCCUGAAGCCCGCGAGCGCCGCGCGAUUGCUUUGCGCGGAUCAGCAGAUUCGGUGCGAUUCCGAAGCCGACGGUUACAGUCCGGAUGGAAGAGAACGAGG